rnacentral:rRNA from 1 species
CCUACGGGAGGCUGCAGCGGGGAAUAUUGGACAAUGGGGGGAACCCUGAUCCAGCCAUGCCGCGUGUGUGAAGAAGGCCCUCGGGUUGUAAAGCACUUUCAGUGAGGAAGAACGCCUGGUGGUUAAUACCCAUCAGGAAAGACAUCACUCACAGAAGAAGCACCGGCUAACUCCGUGCCAGCAGCCGCGGUAAUACGGAGGGUGCGAGCGUUAAUCGGAAUUACUGGGCGUAAAGCGCGCGUAGGUGGCUUGAUAAGCCGGUUGUGAAAGCCCCGGGCUCAACCUGGGAACGGCAUCCGGAACUGUCAAGCUAGAGUGCAGGAGAGGAAGGUAGAAUUCCCGGUGUAGCGGUGAAAUGCGUAGAGAUCGGGAGGAAUACCAGUGGCGAAGGCGGCCUUCUGGACUGACACUGACACUGAGGUGCGAAAGCGUGGGUAGCAAACAGGAUUAGAUACCCUUGUAGUC